CGCGGGGUGGAGCAGUUUGGUAGCUCGUCGGGCUCAUAACCCGAAGGU
rnacentral:tRNA from 1 species